CAGGUUGAAAGUCAGCCUGCCAUUUCGGAAAGCUUUGGGUGCAUGCUUGCUCGCCGCAAAUUGAGCCCAUGGAAAGUAUCAGUGUGGAGAUCCCCGCGGUUUUCUAACUGCGUACACGCUUCGUGUUCAAUGCCUAAACUUCCCCCUGAAAGGAAAUAUUCUCCGCUUGAAUACUAGGGUCCCUGAACUCAGCAAGAGUGAAGGAAGGGAUUGAGGAGCAGUGAAGGCUGCUUUCUCGUCGGCAAAGCUGAAAUGACCCUAUUCGGACCGGCGCGGAUAUGCAAAUCGCUGCCAUUUGAUUGAUAUUUUCCCGACUUCUUUCUGAUAGAUAGUGUCU
rnacentral:sRNA from 1 species